GCCUGGGAUAGCUCAAUUGGUAGAGCAUGUGGCGCUUAAUCUCAAGGUCGAGGGUUUGACCCCCACGUUGGGCG